rnacentral:rRNA from 1 species
GACAGAGGGUGCAAACGUUGUUCGGAAUUACUGGGCGUAAAGCGCGUGUAGGCGGCCCGAUAAGUCCGCUGUGAAAGUCGGGGGCUCAACCUCGGAUGCCGGUGGAUACUGUCGGGCUAGAGUGCGGGAGAGGAGAGUGGAAUUCCGUGGUGUAGCGGUGAAAUGCGCAGAUAUCAGGAAGAACACCCGUGGCUAAGGCGGCUCUCUAGUACGGUA